CCCCUAAAAAUUCCAGCAACGGCUCUACUUCAGGAGAAUCUGGCAGUGGCGGCGAUGGUGCUUCUACUUGAGGUGAAUCUGGUCAGAACAAAGGAGAGAGAACUUGUUUUCUUAUAUUAUCACAAAAAGAUCCAUCAGGCUACAACAACACACAACAAGUGUAAAGUUUCUUGGCUCUACUAAAAACUCAAAAGUCAAAGUUGGAUCAAUCAUCACCAUAGGCCUUGAAACAAUACCGCUCAAUAUAAGGAGCGUUAAAGAAAAGAUCAGCUUCCAACCAUUUCGGAUACCGAACAAGAUCUCCAGCUAAAAACUGCAUAUACCUCUUGCUUCCUUCGGGAACAACUCGAACCUCUCCUUGUUCAAUGUAAACCAACUGAUCCACCUGCCAAUCCCAUGGCAAUUUGCAUUUCCCUGUCUUCCAAACUGACCAUCUCGAAACCCCAAGUUCCUCCAACCGUUUCUGUGAAACUUUCCGUUCCACUUUAACAUUUGACAGAACCUGGGAAUGGUGUAGUCAUUAUCAGACUUGCCAUGGCUGCUUUUAUCCAAUCUUGUCAAACCUGAGAUCCACAAUGAACUUUAAAUAACACAUAUCGAAAACAUUGUGAUGUGUUAAAGUCUUGUAACUCCUGAAACAGAGAAAGAAGGAAAUUAGCUAAUGCCCAUUUGCUAUUUCGAUUGGAAAAGUGAAAACUCAUCGCAAAAUUGAUGAUAUACGAAUUUAACCCAACAAGCAAAAAAAAGGUUGUCGAUUUCAAAACCAAAAAAAAAAGCGGAAGACAGAUUAUACGCAUCGAAAUCGAAUUUCUUACCAGCGGAAGUGUGAGUGAGAGUAACCCUUAAACCCUGAAGCAGUCAGGCUUAUCCGAUCCCCGAUAUAAUAAAUGUUACAGAAACGACCCUAAUAUUUAUAUUUGUUUUAACUUUAGACUAGAAGUUUGUUUUGAGUUAAUGUGACCCAAAUAUUUUUUCUAUAGACGUAACGUUUUCAGAUUUGACGU